rnacentral:lncRNA from 1 species
UCUCCUUCUUUUAGUGUUCGUGCAUCAAUAUCCCCCCUGGCCAUGGCAGAUGUCGGCUGAAUCCGGUCAAAAGGUCCCAUUUGCUUGUGCUGAUGUUUUCACGGUACAUGUACUCUCCACACUUCCUUUAAUGAUGGAAAGCUUGACUCAACUUCAACCUCAAAUCCACAGGACAGGCCACUCACUGGCUAUGAAACGCAAAAUACUGAUGUUUUGGUUUUCAGUUUUCGUGGAUGUUCGGACCUGACCACUUCUAACAGGAGCAAAGUGCCACAGAGGAAAGUGAGGUGUUUUUUUUUUAAUUCUAAAUGGAUUGUAUUUCUAAAUAUUGUAUUUUUGAAUGCUGUGUGGUCUUCCCAUGUCACUGUAGAUCUUUGAUGAACACUUGUUUGAAGACUUGUUUGUUUAUCUAUUAAGUAAAGAAUGAGGCACACAUUUUACAGAGUAUUAAUCAAAAAUUGUGUGUGUGUAAUUAUACCUAACUUGUGAUGAUAUUCAGAGUUACUCAGUAUUUUAUAGUGGGAUUAUUUUAGGACACUUAAAACCAAUUAUGAUCUAAAAAAAACAAAAGAAUGAUAAAUGAGCAUCACAUAUAAUUAAUUUGGUUUGAGUAAAUAAAAACAAAAGAGUACAACGUGAUGGAUCUGUGAUUCUCCAUAAAUUAUGUUGGCCUUUAUUUUUUAAUCAAUUUGUAUUUUCUAUUCGUUGCUGAAAAUUUCUUUCAUUCUGGACUAGAUUUACAAUAUCUAAAUAUGGUAACUUAUUUUUUUUUUUCAUUUGAUUCUUGUGUAACACUUCAGAGGACAUGUCCUAGCCACUUCUACAUACACAAGUAUUUAGUUCUCAAAUAAUAGCCUGAAUGGAUAUGUGUACCAACAUGGUUAAAAAAAAAAAACUACUGUCUUCUGGAGUUAGUAAGAUGCAUUUUGUUACUUUUAGGUUUGCUUUUAGUGAAACUGGCCUAAAACUGCAGCAUCUUGUUUGACUGGUUCUUUUUUUAAUCAGACCAACUUGACAAGUUGUUGAGCUGAACAAACCGCAGCUGCAUCCGAAUCUAGAGAGUGAAUGUGAAGGGCAGCUUGAGACAACGAGCUACAAUGAGCUCAACUCAAGUAAAACCCAACUGUGCCAAGCGAGAAGAUUUGAAAAA